rnacentral:rRNA from 1 species
AGUGAACGCUGGCGGUAGGCCUAACACAUGCAAGUCGAACGGCAGCACAGGAGAGCUUGCUCUCUGGGUGGCGAGUGGCGGACGGGUGAGGAAUACAUCGGAAUCUACUCUGUCGUGGGGGAUAACGUAGGGAAACUUACGCUAAUACCGCAUACGACCUACGGGUGAAAGCAGGGGACCUUCGGGCCUUGCGCGAUUGAAUGAGCCGAUGUCGGAUUAGCUAGUUGGCGGGGUAAAGGCCCACCAAGGCGACGAUACGUAGCUGGUCUGAGAGGAUGAUCAGCCACACUGGAACUGAGACACGGUCCAGACUCCUACUGGAGGCAGCAGUGGGGAAUAUUGGACAAUGGGCGCAAGCCUGAUCCAGCCAUACCGCGUGGGUGAAGAAGGCCUUCGGGUUGUAAAGCCCUUUUGUUGGGAAAGAAAUCCAGCUGGCUAAUACCCGGUUGGGAUGACGGUACCCAAAGAAUAAGCACCGGCUAACUUCGUGCCAGCCGCCGCGGUAA